rnacentral:rRNA from 1 species
UACGUAGGGGCCUAGCGUUGUCCGGAUUUAUUGGGCGUAAAGAGCUCGUAGGCGGUUCGGUAAGUCAGGUGUGAAAUCUCCACGCUCAACGUGGAGGCGCCACCUGAAACUGCCGUGACUCGAGUCCGGUAGGGGAGUGUGGAAUUCCUGGUGUAGCGGUGAAAUGCGUAGAUAUCGGGAGGAACACCGGUGGCGAAGGCGGCCUUCUGGACGGAUACUGACGCUGAGACGCGAAAGCGUGGGGAGCAAACAGG